GAUCUGCCUACAGGACCGGGACAACAGUGGCAAUCUGCUGCUAUAACCGGAUGUGCCGAGAGGUGAAAUAUUAAUAGCCUGUAGAUGAACUCGCGUCUGAUUAGCUAGUUGGUGUGGUAAAGGCAUACCAAGGCGACGAUCAGUAGCUGGUCUGAGAGGACGAUCAGCCACACUGGGACUGAGACACGGCCCAGACUGCUACGGGAGGCAGCAGUGGGGAAUUAUCCGCAAUGGGCGAAAGCCUGACGGAGCAACGCCGCGUGAGGGAAGAAGGCCUGUGGGUUGUAAACCUCUUUUCUCAAGGAAGAUGUUCUGACGGUACUUGAAGAAUCAGCAUCGGCUAACUCCGUGCCAGCAGCCGCGGUAAGACGGAGGAUGCAAGCGUUAUCCGGAAUUAAUGGGCGUAAAGCUCCGUAGGCGGUUUCAAAAGUCUGUUGUUAAAUCCCACAGCUCAACUGUGGAUCGGCAAUGGAAACUGUGAGACUAGAGAGUGGUAGGGGUAGAGGGAAUUCCUAGUGUAGCGGUGAAAUGCGUAGAUAUUAGGAAGAACACCAGUGGCGAAGGCGCUCUACUGGGCCAUUACUGACGCUGAUGGACGAAAGCUAGGCGAGCG
rnacentral:rRNA from 1 species